GGAGAAGAUAGGUAAGUUGAGAGCACAGGAGGAGGGGAAGAAGGAGGUUUUCAUUUCACUUAACCAAUAUUUGCGCUUCAGUUUAAGCCUCAGCCAGCUCUGCUGUCUCUAUCUAGGCGCUGCUUAGCUUUGAUGAUUGUGUGAUUUCCCCCCGAUUUUCUACCCAAUGCCAAACAAACGGUGCUUAAUGAAGAUACCUUAGGCUAACUGCGCAAACUGUUCAAUUAGUGGGGAUUACUUUAGGGGCACCAGCCAGAGACAGCUGGCCCCUUGGGAGGUGAGAUUAGGAGAGAAGGAACCGUCUGGGCCAGUCAAGGCCUGCGGGAAUUGCUAUUCUAUCCCGGAAGGUGCGAGGGCUGGUGCCCGUAGCGAAGGGAGAGCCCGGAGCACUCGAGGGGCAGAUAGUUGGGGGCGGUGCAUGUGGGGCCAGGGGCGCGGAAGGAUCGGGGAUCAGGGCGGUGGGGAAUGUGCCUGAGAGCAGAGAGUGGGGUAAAUGUGUUGUUUAGACGCUGAGCUCUUGCAAUGAGUUCUGCCACUUCUGUACAGCGCAGAUUUGGUGCUAAUGAAACAGGGGGCAGAGCAAACAGCGCGCUGGCCGCUAGUCCUGCUCAUUGGCUACGUGGCACUCACUGGAGUUACAGUUAGGGGCACGGAUCGCUUUGCAGGGCGGCCGUGGCAGGCUGGGCAGCUAUCGCUCUUCCACGGGUUCCCGGUCCCUUGGCACUGGUCUGUGUAAACCGAGCAGGAGCAGUGAGAGCUAAACGGGAAGUUGCUGGCGCUCCAAAACCAGCUCUGGCUGAUAAGGGAUCGGUGCACUCUGCCUGAAAACAAGCCGAUGGGUUACCUGGGAGCCGUGCAGGGCUGUCCUCAAAGCUUAAUUCCCAGGCACCAGGCCAAGUUCAGUGAAAAGCAGGCGAGGCAUCUCGGGGUGCUUCGGGAACACGGUGGAGCUCACUGCCACAAGGUGACGCCGAAAGCUGGGUAGCUGCGGGGCUGGACAUUUACAACGGGUGAGAUCGGCGCCGGUUCCAGUAGCCAGGGAGGAUGCGGGAAAGUGGUCCUCCGCACACGAGUAUUUCACCAGGAAGCUGACCGGAUCGCGCAGUUCCCCGGGAAAAAGAACCAAAGUCUACAAGUGGGACCUGAAACAAGUUAGAUUUGAGCUGGGAAAUGUCAUUGGAAAGCAAGAAAGCCCCUGUGAAAUCCCAGCCCGGGCGAAAGGGAAGCGGAGAAAGGAGAGGAAGGGAAGGAAUCGCGCCGGUGGAAAACACCGGUAUGAACGCCCCAAAAACCGAAACCAGAUUGAAUUGGGACCUACGAAACCAGGACAAUAAACGGACGCUCGGACCCGGGAUUAAGAAUUUGAAAUCGACAAACCAACCCCAAGAGGGGGGCGUGGAACUGGAUUUAAACUGCGCGUGACAAACAAUAAAAGCUCACUGCAAAAAACGAAAAUCGGACAGCAGCGCAGAGAGGGGGGACGAAAUGAAGCGGCUGUAGCCAGGGGCUGUUAUGUUUGGGUGUCUGG